GGCCGUGGUUCUUCUUCCUCUUCCCUCUUCGAUCCAGUCAUCUUCUUUCUCAGGUGAGUUCUCCUUGGCUUUCCUUCUUCUGUAAUUAGCUUUCUCAUUCUUACAUUUCCCUUCCAGCUUUCUUCUUUCUAUUUUCCUUUGAGAUCCUGGUAUUCUACAUACAGUAUCUGUUCAGCGGUAUUGGCAGUUACCAAUGUGGCUACAUCAAACUCCUUCAACCCUUUUCCUUUCCUUCUCAGGUUGUGGGAAUAAAUACCUUGCCCUAGGACGAUUCAAACCGUAGAGUUUCAAUCCCAACCAAAUUUCCUGCUGUGAGAUUGAAAUCAGCAACCAGGUUGGGCUCUUCUAGUUCUGCCAGUUUCUGUUUCAGACAAUUAUUUUUAAACCAAUAGCUGCUUUCUGGAAUCAUUGUUGGUUGAUCUUAAGAGGGUUAGGUAGUAAGAAUCUAUGUUUGAAAUCUUAUCUUGUUAAGAGUUGAACCAAGAGAGUUCUCUCAAUUGAAACCGAAGCAGCUCACUGCUGCUCUUUCUUAGUUCUACUUCAUUUUAAAUACCAGAAAACUCCUUGUCAAGUUCUUUUUACAGUUUAGCCAUAGGGUCCUUUAUUCCUUCCAAAGGGUCUUGAACUGUGCUGUGAAUUUACAAAUUUGCCACUAUUCAUAUAAUUUGAGUUUCUCUUUUUGAAUGGGCCUAUAACAACCCGAAAGUAGGGUUCUAGAACCU